rnacentral:rRNA from 1 species
ACAUAGUGGCAGACGGGUGAGUAACGCGUGGAAACAUGCCCUUCACUACGGAAUAGCUUUUGGAAACGAAAGGUAAUACCGUAUACGCCCUCCGGGGGAAAGAUUUAUCGGUGAAGGAUUGGUCCGCGUUAGAUUAGCUAGUUGGUGAGGUAACGGCUUACCAAGGCGACGAUCGGUAGCUGGUCUGAGAGGAUGAUCAGCCACACUGGGACUGAGACACGGCCCAGACUCCUACGGGAGGCAGCAGUGGGGAAUAUUGGACAAUGGGGGCAACCCUGAUCCAGCAAUGCCGCGUGAGUGAAGAAGGCCUUAGGGUUGUAAAGCUCUUUCACCCGUGAAGAUGAUGACGGUAGCGGGAGAAGAAGCCCCGGCUAAUUCCGUGCCAGCAGCCGCGGUAAUACGGAAGGGGCUAGCGUUGUUCGGAAUUACUGGGCGUAAAGAGCGCGUAGGCGGCUCUUCAAGUUAGGCGUGAAAGGCCUGGGCUCAACCUGGGAACUGCGUUUAAUACUGGAGAGCUUGAGUCCGGGAGAGGGUGGUAGAAUUCCCAGUGUAGAGGUGAAAUUCGUAGAUNUUGGGAGGAAUACCAGUGGCGAAGGCGGCCACCUGGCCCGGAACUGACGCUGAGGCGCGAAAGCGUGGGGAGCAAACAGGAUUAGAUACCCUGNNA